rnacentral:rRNA from 1 species
CGGCAACAGCUCAAAUUUGAAAUCUGGCCCCUAGGGCCCGAGUUGUAAUUUGCAGAGGAUGCUUUUGGUGAGGCGCCGGCCGAGUUCCCUGGAACGGGACGCCACAGAGGGUGAGAGCCCCGUCUGCCUGGACGCCGAACCUAUGUAAAGCUCCUUCGACGAGUCGAGUAGUUUGGGAAUGCUGCUCUAAAUGGGAGGUAUAUGUCUUCUAAAGCUAAAUAUUGGCCAGAGACCGAUAGCGCACAAGUAGAGUGAUCGAAAGAUGAAAAGCACUUUGAAAAGAGGGUUAAAUAGUACGUGAAAUUGUUGAAAGGGAAGCGCUCAUGACCAGACUUGGGCUUGGCGGAUCAUCCGGCGUUCUCGCCGGUGCACUCUGCCUCGUCCAGGCCAGCAUCAGUUCGCCGCGGGGGAUAAAGGCGUCGGGAAUGUGGCUCCCACGGGAGUGUUAUAGCCCUUCGCAUAAUACCCUGAGGUGGACUGAGGUUCGCGCUCCGCAAGGAUGCUGGCGUAAUGGUCAUCAGCGACCCGUCUUGAAACACGGACCAAGGAGUCGUCUUCGUAUGCGAGUGUUCGGGUGUCAAACCCCUACGCGUAAUGAAAGUGAACGCAGGUGAGAGCUUCGGCGCAUCAUCGACCGAUCCUGAUGUUCUCGGAUGGAUUUGAGUAAGAGCAUACGGGGCCGGACCCGAAAGAAGGUGAACUAUGCCUGUAUAGGGUGAAGCCAGAGGAAACUCUGGUGGAGCUCGCAGCGGUUCUGACGUGCAAAUCGAUCGUCAAAUAUGGGCAUGGGGGCGAA